CAAACAUUGUAUAAAAUAGAGUUAGGUUCAAAUGUUUAAUAAAUCCUUUAAAAUCAUUUUAGCGUCAAAGACAGAUGCAGAUUCUUCCAAAAUUGUGAAUUAUCUUUUACAUUUCUAUAACAAAUUACCAUUUACAUAUUGUCCACACAAUGGAAUAACAAGGCAAAGUGCUUUCAGGAUCGAUUGCAUUGUCAAAUAAAGAAAUGGCUUGAGGUUUUGGAGGGAUAGUGGGGUGAAUGGAAUGUGGGGGCAGGGCAAGGGUCUGUCUGGUCAGAUACCUGACCUCUCACUGGUCCCCUAUUCACAUGGAAUUAAAGCAGCUAUACAGAGAUUAUGGUGGGGAGGCAAACACCUACCAACAGUUUGGUUUGGAGUGGAUUAGUGUUUUUGAAGGCAUACGGCUUGAGGGGAACAAAACUCACCCACGUACAGAAUAUAACAAUGUGCAUAUAACCUGACUCCCCCAUGACAACCUGUGAAAAAUAUAUAUUAUGAUAGUACCAAACCAGCUGUACGUACAUACAUACAUACAUACAUACAUACGUAUGCAAUAACUAACCCAACAAAACAUUCACAUUCCAGGAAGCUGUAAACUUUAACUGAGAUGUAGAGCACAACAUGAAAACAUUUGUACAUCGGUUCAAGACAAAGACAAACAGAAAAUGCCAAUGUACUCAUUCAUGUAAUUCAUCCCAAAAAGAAGGGGGUUUGCUAUGCAAGGAGCACAUCAGUCAAAAUUAAUGUCUAGCGUGGGUAGAAGACAUUCGUUAUCAGCGUCAUAACACAGUCUGGCUUCACAUCCCAGUGCUAUUUUCUACGUUUUUCAUAAAUAAUUUCAUGUUGAACACACAAUUAUACAUACAAUCAAGCACACAUGUUGAAUUAUAAUUGUUCAUGGCAAAAUGCUAAGGUUCUCAUAGGCUACUGUGUAUUUGUUUGUUUGUCAAAACAGGUGGAGAUUAACUCAAAGCUGCAAUUUAUAGGAGGUAGGAAAAAUGCUUCUACUGAAAACCGCAAGAAAUGCAAACAAGUUUAUUUACAUGGAUAAUACCAUUAAAUGUACCAACCUUAUAGAAUUUGUAGUAAGUGAGAGGCGUGUUUAUAUUCCUUGACUGGCCAUGUUUGAAUUCAUUAAUUUGGAAAUGGAGCUACAUCAUUGGUCCUGGUGUCAUUGCCAUCACACGUCUAGAGCACAUGCUGGUGAUGGCCUUUUCUUCUCACAGUAGAAUAGUAUUAGAAGGUUUGUAAAUGAGGUAAUCAAGCGUUAAAAUAGGGAAUUGUUCCUUCCGCUGGGGGGGGGGUGGGGGUACAGCAACCUGUAGGCCUGUCAAAGAUACUACCAUUCACCAGCAAAGAAGUUUAGAACUUGUUACCCAACAGCAAAGCUUGCAAAAACUAUUGGAAUGUUUGGCGGACAAACCAAAUCUCUUUUUAAAGGUGCAUUGAGAAACCAUUUGAUUAUAACUAAUCAUGUGCCCUAAUUCAGACUCCUCCCCCUCUCCUGGUAUGUGGUCCACUCCAAGGUAUUUACAACAGAUAAGCCACUGAGUAAAACAGGCAACUAACCCUUAGUCGGUCUUUAUCAGUUUACAUUCAGUUAGGGUGCUGCAGAACAAAUAAAGAAACAGCAGAAGGACCAACAAAUAUCACAGGAUAUACCCAAUGAAUACAUCCUUUUCCCAUGUAUUGCUCAGGGAGCACAUAAGCCAUAGAGUACCUCCAACUGAUCGUGUCCUAAUCACUGUGCUCGAGGUGAAUCACCAUUAUGGAGAUACUCCAGAGAUUGUCUGGCCAAAGACAUCAUCAUGGGUGAAGUAGAAGUUGCUUGUACAGCAAAUUACUGCAAUAAUGGCUAACAUGGUUUUCGAAUAUUUCCUACCUCAGCUGAUUAAAAAGGGGAAUUUCAAGGGGAACAACCAAUAUCGUACGGGCUUCCAACAUAGUACAUGUCAAAGGGCCUCCAACAUGUCAAAAAGAUGUAUACAGUAGGUAUACACGUCCUACCCUAGGCACUGAGCUGAUCUUACGAUACUGGUACACUUUAUUCGCUACCUUUUAAUUUCCAUUGUCAUCGACAUGUCUGAUUUAAACAGGCCUGCCUACUUACAUUAAGGGAUACAUGCCAUUCACCCCCUCAACAUUAUACAUAGAGUUCAGGAAAUUGUCUCAACUUUUUUAAGCUGUUCUGAUCUUCACUGAACAAGUUUAUCACACACAGAGCAAGUAGUAAGAUUGUGAAAGAUACUAAACGGGGGUGUGCGAGGGUGAGAUGAAUUAGGGGGGAGUCUCUCUUAAUGUUUCUUUCGAAAACAAGAAGGUAUUUCAUCAUGUCUUUAAACCACUUCAUUUACGUCCAAAAAAAACCCCCAUAUCAUUUGAUAUGGAGGACGAUGCAUACGUACACACGCAAGCAAAACAUUUAAAGAUUGAAGGAGAUUCACUCCAUAAAAUGCCAUCCAACUGCAAUUACAAAAAACCACAUGGUUGAUCUACCAGUCAAAUCAUCUUGUACACGGUCUCCCUUAUGAGCAAGCAGCUUUGAUACUUAAAUAUCAAAAUCACACAGUCCUAAGAAUGCAAUUCCAUAUUCUAGAUUCUAACAAGUGCCACUUCUCUGGACGCAAAGCAGCUAGGAAAGGUUCCAAUCCUACUGCCCGCCGCAGAAAGUCUAUUUUGUUUUUGGCCUUGAAAAACGCAGGUCAUGUUCUUUUACUUGAGGAAGAAAAUGAUAAAUAAGGUUUAUUGCACUCGUCUUUUUCAACCAUAAAAAAUAAAAAUAGAGGCAAGCUUAAAGAGGACGAUCUACCUCGCCCUUAUGCUAAUAUCAGACAACGCAUGUUAUAUUACAGCACGGUCACACUAUCAACGCUACACACUGCUACUAAGAAACCCCUACUUUCAAUCAGUCUAAUACAACAAACACUCCAAACAGUUACAACCAACACAUUAUCAUUACUACUGUACCCCAAUAGGAUUUCCACAACUUGAUCUAUUCUCUACAGCUAGUGAGUUUAAUUAAAUACAUACAACUGAAACAAUCUGAAUUGAUAUGCUCAGACUUCAGGAGAAACUACAUUUACAGUACUGAUACCGACCAUCCAAUCCCAUGCUUUCCUAUUCUCCAUGACCACCAUUCUUGGCUCUAACCGCCACAGCACUGAGAGCCAUCCUUGAGGUGACAUUAAAGAAUAAUGGGUCCAUCUUUGGAUUUGUGCUUUCAAAAAGUUACUUCAAUAUUGGUGCAUUCAACAUCAGAAAGGAGAUUGUUCAGAUCGUUCACUCCAUAUGACUCAAGCUCAGAGACCCAUAGCAUGCACACAGAAUCGGCCAAGAACGUAAAACAGGAGUUGCUUAUUAUAGCUCACAUCACAUACUGUAGGUUGAGAAUGUUCUUUUCAGAGAGAUGCGCUCUUCUAUGCUUUUACAUGUCAUUCAUAAGGCUUCCGGGAGGUAUAACUGGAAGACCAUGCGGUAGAUAGAGCAUUCAUUUUAAAAAAAACAUUUAAAAAAAGGCACCAACCACCUCUGAGGUGGUUGUCACACAGGUCCAAAUGAUGGAAGAAACGUAAUGAGACCACAAGCAGGGGGAAAGCUAGCAUGAGUGAAACUCUACAAAACCUCCCACGUUCACUAACUUGAGGGGGUAAAUAAUUACUGCAUAGCAGUCCCCCCACUAUAAAAUGUGUUUUCACACUACUUUUCCUCAUGACCUCCAUUGAAUUACAGAUUCUUCUGCCCUUCACAUACUAGAACUCUCAUAAUUUGGUCCGUAGAAAUCACACUGACAACAAGGUAGACGUCUGUGUUCUUCCUUUCUCUUCUCUCCAACCGGUAUGGAGGUAAUUCAUUAACAGCGUUAUUUGGUUUUGGAGGUGACAGUCAAGCUGACAAGACCGGUAAUAAGUGAAAUCCCAAUUUUUCCACUUACAAAUAUGGCAAAAUCCCCAAAACAAUCACAAGGCAACCUUGAGCAGUGUGCCACCAACAUGGAUGCAUGUGCUUCUACACCAAAGGAUCUUUGUGUGCGACCGAAAUGACACCCCAUUCCCAUUAUAGUGCACUACUUUUGACCCGAGGCCCCCCCAUAGGGCUUUGGUCAAAAGUAGUGCACUAUGUAGGGCAUAGGGUGCCAUUCGGGACACAUCCCAUAAUAGCAAAACCAGCAGAGAUUUUAGCAGUCCCACUGGGAAACAUAACUAGCAAGAUGGUCGGUGUUAUAACGUAGUAGGUACUGCAAGAUACUUGUUCCUUUGCCUUUAAAAGGCUCUGCUGUGAAUUAAAGUUUUACAUUUGUAUUCUAUGAAAGAUACUUCAAGUAAGAAUAGGGGCAUCCAUCGAGGACGAGGUAAAUCUAUUCCCUGUUAACCAUACAUCUGCAAACAUCAAAAACUGUUCUAGAAUAAUUACAAACCACGGGCAAAGAAAUAACCAUUCAUUAUUAUUAUCAGUUUAUGCCAACACAAAUAGUCUGUCAUUUUAAAUCUUCCAUCCAUUCUUUUCUCCAGACUACCACCAACUCUAUUCUAUGAUUGCUUUCCACUUCCUACGAUCAGUACUAAGUGGUUCAAACCAUUAGUCACCAAUGACAUCAUGACCUGUAUCUGUGCCAGCAAUGCUUCAAAUCAGAACUUAAUAAUCAUUCCAACAACAACAAAAAAUAUAUAUAAUAAAUGUUCACUCUAACCAUGGCUACCACAGUAAAUG
rnacentral:lncRNA from 1 species